rnacentral:rRNA from 1 species
GACGAACGCUGGCGGCGUGCCUAAUACAUGCAAGUAGAACGCUGAAGUGAGGAGCUUGCUCUUCUUGGAUGAGUUGCGAACGGGUGAGUAACGCGUAGGUAACCUGCCUUGUAGCGGGGGAUAACUAUUGGAAACGAUAGCUAAUACCGCAUAACAAUGGAUGACACAUGUCAUUUAUUUGAAAGGGGCAAUUGCUCCACUACAAGAUGGACCUGCGUUGUAUUAGCUAGUAGGUGAGGUAAUGGCUCACCUAGGCGACGAUACAUAGCCGACCUGAGAGGGUGAUCGGCCACACUGGGACUGAGACACGGCCCAGACGCCUACGGGAGGCAGCAGUAGGGAAUCUGCGGCAAUGGGGGCAACCCUGACCGAGCAACGCCGCGUGAGUGAAGAAGGUUUUCGGAUCGUAAAGCUCUGUUGUAAGUCAAGAGCGGGUGUGAGAGUGGAAAGUUCACACUGUGACGGUAGCUUACCAGAAAGGGACGGCUAACUACGUG